rnacentral:rRNA from 1 species
AAACGAAUAUUGGGCAAAGGGCGAAAGCCUGACCCAGCAAUGCCGCGUGCAGGACGAAGUCCUUCGGGUUGUAAACUGCUGUCAGGGGUCCGCAAGCGAAGGGGUCCAACAGGCCCUGGAGUUGAGCAGCCCCAGAGGAAGCCUCGACUAACUCUGUGCCAGCAGUCGCGGUAAGACAGAGGAGGCAAGCGUUGUUCGGAAUCACUGGGCUUAAAGCGCGUGUAGGCGGCUUAGAAAGUGUCGUGUGAAAUCCCGCGGCUCAACCGCGGAACUGCACGGCAAAAUAAGUGGCUUGAGGUCGGUAGAGGUGCCUGGAGCUCUAGGUGUAGCGGUGAAAUGCGUAGAUAUCUAGAGGAACGCCAGAAGCGAAAGCGGGGCACUGGGCCGAGUCUGACGCUGAGACGCGAAAGCGUGGGGAGCAAACA